rnacentral:rRNA from 1 species
GACGAACGCUGGCGGCGUGCCUAAUACAUGCAAGUUGAGCGCUGAAGGUUGGUACUUGUACCAACUGGAUGAGCAGCGAACGGGUGAGUAACGCGUGGGUAAUCUGCCUUUGAGCGGGGGACAACAUUUGGAAACGAAUGCUAAUACCGCAUAAAAACUUUAAACACAAGUUUUAAGUUUGAAAGAUGCAAUUGCAUCACUCAAAGAUGAUCCCGCGUUGUAUUAGCUAGUUGGUGAGGUAAAGGCUCACCAAGGCGAUGAUACAUAGCCGACCUGAGAAGGUGGUCGGCCACAUUGGGACUGGGACACGGCCCAAAGUACUACGGGAGGCAGCAGUAGGGAAUCUUCGGCAAUGGACGAAAGGCUGACCGAGCAACGCCGCGGGAGUGAAGAAGGGUUUCGGAUCGUAAAACUCUGUUGGUAGAGAAGAACGUUGGUGAGAGUGGAAAGCUCAUCAAGUGACGGUAACUACCCAGAAAGGGACGGCUAACUACGUG